rnacentral:rRNA from 1 species
GACGUAGGGCGCGAGCGUUGUCCGGAUUUAUUGGGCGUAAAGAGCUCGUAGGCGGUUUGUCGCGUCGGCCGUGAAAUCUCCACGCUUAACGUGGAGCGUGCGGGCGAUACGGGCGGACUGGAGUUCGGCAGGGGAGACUGGAAUUCCUGAUGUAGCGGUGAAAUGCGCAGAUAUCAGGAGGAACACCGGUGGCGAAGGCGGGUCUCUGGGCCGAUGACUGACGCUGAGGAGCGAAAGCGUGGGGAGCGAACAGG